AAGUUAACCUGCCCUAUUUUCUCAUUGCAGCGGAAAUUAAAGUAUGACGAAUCUCCACAAUUUGGAGAAGUGCUGAGGGAUAUGGAAUGCUGUACGUUCCACAAGGUUUACAGGCUCUUGGAGUUGAUUCUGCGGCAAAGCAUGUGCAGGUACGUGAGAACUGGGUGAGGAGCUAAAGAAGUAAUGGUGGAAGAUUGAAGAAUAGGGAGCUACACAAGUGAUGGUGGAAAUAGGGAGGUCAACAAGAAUUCAUUCCCUAAUUUAGAAUACAGGAAUACAGGAUUCUCCAAUCACAGCUCAUAUUUCACAAUUGAUCUAUGGAAUAAAAAAUCCAUCGGUGGAAUUUUGAAGAUAUAAUUGCUAUUUGUUACAUAUUCAAUCUGCCCGCUCAAAUGUACUAUAUUUUUCAUUUAUAUAUAUCUCAUCAAAUUUGCUAUAUUUUCUUAUUUGAGAAAAGCUCCA